UUUUUUCUAGUCGAACCUCCUUCCAUUCAACCAUUCCUUUUAGAGUGUUGUUGAAGCUCUCUGAGGCAUUGUUUGUUAUUUCAGAGAGCAUAAGUCCUAGAUUUCUGAGGGCAAAUGUUGCACUCCUUUUUACAUGCGCUUCAAGGUUGACUCUGAAGUAUUCCUUAAACGCCAAACUCCAGGUCAUGGAAUACCAUUUUAGGUUAUAAUUCCAUUCCUUUUCAGUCUGGGACUGAAGAAUGUGUCUGAUAUUUUCAACAUACACUUCUUCGUCAUCUUUUUGCCCUCUCAGCUUCUGUAUCUGGUACCUGACAUUCCGGAGGAGGUGAUUCCAGCAGUUUACCCUGGAAAGCUUAGGAAGAGUUUGAGUGAUGGCAUUAUCAAUGGCAGUCUCAUGGUCAGUGCAUAUGACAAACUUGUGAGAAUUCAGUUCUGGUAGAAUGGUGGCCAAAUCAGAGAAAAAUGCUGAGUGUGUUUUCUCUGUCCUGUUUUGAUGUAGCAGAAAUGCCAGUGGAAUUACAGGACACUCGGUAAAACUGGCGUGGUGGUACAGCAAUGGUGAAACAUAAAAGUUCCCCAAGUUAAAGUGGUGUCAUAGUGAAUUACAUGCGGGACAUGUGGGUGCUCAGUGUUGGCCAUCAUGUGCCUGAAUUCAGCAAUCAUUCCAGGAACAACUGGUGGAUUAUGUGGAUAUGUGGAUAGACACGCAUGUCCUGUACAAAAUCUUUCAGGUACUCACAUAAUAUGUAUGUAGCACUUACGUCAUGGGGGUUGAGCAUGCUAUCCAGUCGAGCACGUUUGACAGUGUUUUGUACCUGACUCAUGUCCCUGGGAAAGUGAGUGUCUAGAUGGGGCUUGCUUUGUAAUGGUCUAUUGAUCAAUUCAUGGUAUACCUGCGAUGGAGGCAGAUUCUUCUCAUCUUUGAUCAUUUUCAUGAUACUAGGGGCAGUUCGCACAAAAGGUUGCUGAGACUCUUCUGAAUUUCCAUGUGGUUUAGGUAUGUAUGCCUCCACAUCUCCUGUAUACUGAAUCAAGAAGUAUGGCUUGUUCACCAGCUCGUAUGACCUUUUCCUGAAGACUUUCCCUUCACUCUUUACCAAGAAAUAGCGAAUUUUCACUUGGCCCAGUGGGUGAGAGAGGGUCUUUGUUCCCCUAUUGUUCCACCUGAUAUGAUCUGCUCUCCAAUCUUGCUUCUCACACUCACCUUGAUACAUGUACAUAUGCACUUCUCCUGACUUGGGAUUUGUGGGUGGGAGUGUGCUCACUUUCUGCUUAUUGACAUGACGAAGCAGUUCUACUGCUGUGUCAACAGAUAUUGGGUUGUGUUUUAUGCAGUACACUUGAAGGGGCACCUCAGGUUACUGAUAAUGUUUCUUCACUGUCAGAUUUAGUGUCAGGCAGACAGCAGGCUUCAGCAGGAUGGGCUUCUUUGGAAUUGGAAGAUGGAGACAGCGGAGACCAGCUUGGAAAUAAAUCUAGAUCAUCAUCUGGAUCUUCUGUUUCACAGAUGUAAUGGACGAGCUAAGUCCCGGUUCCAUUGGACUAGCACCAUCCCUCCAGUCCUCGGCUUCAGCAUCUGGAUGAGAGGGGAGCCAUCUCUUAUCUGUAUCCACUGCUUUCCUGUUCGCGGGCCUGCUUCUCCCCCCCCCUGCGCCCUCCUCCUCCCUCGGCUUGUAUGCAGGAGGAUCUGUGAUGGGAG